rnacentral:rRNA from 1 species
GCAAGUCGAACGGUGUCUUCGGACAUAGUGGCGCACGGGUGCGUAACACCUUUGCAACCUACCUUACAUUGGGGGAUAGCCUUUCGAACCGUAGAUUAAUACCGCAUAAGACAGUAACUAGGCAUCUAGUAGCUGUUAAAGAUUUAUCGAUGUAAGCUGGGCAUGCGACCAAUUAGCUAGUUGGUGAGGUAAUGGCUCACCAAGGCUAUGAUUGGCAGGGGUACUGAGAGGUC